rnacentral:rRNA from 1 species
UGAGGAAUAUUGGUCAAUGGACGCAAGUCUGAACCAGCCAUGCCGCGUGCAGGAAGACGGCUCUAUGAGUUGUAAACUGCUUUUGUACGAGGGUAAACUCAGAUACGUGUAUCUGACUGAAAGUAUCGUACGAAUAAGGAUCGGCUAACUCCGUGCCAGCAGCCGCGGUAAUACGGAGGAUUCAAGCGUUAUCCGGAUUUAUUGGGUUUAAAGGGUGCGUAGGCGGUCUGAUAAGUUAGAGGUGAAAUCCCGGGGCUUAACUCCGGAAUUGCCUCUGAUACUGUUGGGCUAGAGAGUAGUUGCGGUAGGCGGAAUGUAUGGUGUAGCGGUGAAAUGCUUAGAGAUCAUACAGAACACCGAUUGCGAAGGCAGCUUACCAAACUAUAUCUGACGUUGAGGCACGAAAGCGUGGGGAGCAAACAG